CCCUUAGAUGUUCUGGGCCGCACGCGCGCUACAAUGGUCUUCGCAAACGGAUGCAUUCUCGAAGGAGAAUGCCAAUCUUGGAAUCUAUGCCUUGGUCGGGACAGUUGCUUGCAAUUUUUCGACUCGAACCAGGAAUUCCUUGUAAUCGUGAUUCAUCACAUCACGAUGAAUACGUCCCUGCCCUUUGUACACACCGCCCGUCGCUCCUACCGAUCGGAGAGUUAGGUGAAUUGUUUUGAUCGAUAAGAUUUGACUAUGGUCAACUCUCGUUGUGAAAUUCUGUGAAUCUGACUGUUUAGAGGAAGGAAAAGUCGUAACA
rnacentral:rRNA from 1 species